CCUGCGGAAGGAUCAUUAUCGUAGGGCUUCGGCCCUGUCGAGAUAGAACCCUUGCCUUUUUGAGUACCUUUCGUUUCCUCGGCAGGCUCGCCUGCCAAUGGGGACCACAAAAAACACUUUGCAGUACCUGUAACAGUCUGAACAAACAAACAAAAAAUUAAAACUUUCAACAACGGAUCUCUUGGUUCUGGCAUCGAUGAAGAACGCAGCGAAAUGCGAUAAGUAGUGUGAAUUGCAGAAUUCAGUGAAUCAUCGAAUCUUUGAACGCACAUUGCGCCCUUUGGUAUUCCUUAGGGCAUGCCUGUUCGAGCGUCAUUUAAACCUUCAAGCUAAGCUUGGUGUUGGGUGACUGUCCGCCUCACGGCGGACUCGCCUCAAAAUUAUUGGCGGCCGGUACAUUGGCUUCGAGCGCAGCAGAAACGCGAACUCGGGCCCGUCGUAUUGGCUCCCAGAAGCUAUCUUCACAAUUUUGACC
rnacentral:rRNA from 1 species